GAGUUUGAUCCUGGCUCAGAGUGAACGCUGGCGGCGUGGAUUAGGCAUGCAAGUCGCGCGAUCUUAAAUUUUGUUUUGUGUUGAACCGCAAGGGGAUAUGCAAAACGUUAUUUUGGAUAGCGGCAAACGGGUGAGUAACACGUGAGUAAUCUGCCUCUAAGUUAAGCAUAGCUUCGUGAAAACGGAGGUAAUUCUUAAUAGUACCCUGAUAUCGUAUGAUAUUUGGGUUAAAGGCCGGGACCGCAAGGCCGGUCGCUUAGGGAUGAGCUCGCGUCCUAUCAGCUUGUUGGUGGGGUAAUGGNNUACCAAGGCAUUUGACGGGUAGCUGGUCUG
rnacentral:rRNA from 1 species